GGGGAGAUACCCAAGUGGCCAACGGGGGCAGACUGUAAAUCUGCUGCUUCAUCGCUUCACAGGUUCGAAUCCUGUUCUCCCCA
rnacentral:tRNA from 1 species